rnacentral:rRNA from 1 species
UUCGCCUACAUGAAGCUGGAAUUGCUAGUAAUGGCAGGUCAGCAUACUGCCGUGAAUACGUUCCCGGGCCUUGUACACACCGCCCGUCACACCAUGAGAGUUGGCAACACCCGAAGUCGGUAGUCUAACCGCAAGGAGGACGCCGCCGAAGGUGGGGUUGAUGAUUAGGGUUAAGUCGUAACAAGGUAGC